GAGAAUUCCCCGACCUAUGUAAUAGCCUAAUAUACAUAGAGCCUGAUCCUCCUGCAUGCCAAAUGGUUUACUCGCCAUGAAGCAUGAAGCCAGGUGAAGUCGUAAUACGUGCAAGUCGUAUGCGGGGCUCCUUAAA
rfam:Sporosarcina sp. P33, complete genome.